rnacentral:rRNA from 1 species
CGAUGCGUCAUACCAGCAUUAAUGCACCAGAGCCCAUCAAAUCUCUAAAGUUAAGAGUGCUUGGGCAAGAGUAGUACUCGGAUGGGUGACCCCCUAGGAGGUCCUCGUGUUGCAUCCC